rnacentral:lncRNA from 1 species
AUGAAAACCCUGUGUUGCACCCCAGUGUCCCCCAUAAUCCCACAUCUCCCAUCACCCCACAUCCUGACCUGUGAUGAAAACACCCCCUCCUCCCCCUCCCGCUCCCCAUCCUCCACCAUUCCCAUUUGGGGUUCCCUCCCAAAGUCCCCACCUGCGCCCAUGCCCCCAGCACGCAUCCUGCACUGGGUGGUACCCACUCCUGCUGGGGUCAUACUGGGAUGGCUCCACUGGUAUACAGCUGCAGGGACAAUGACAGGGGGACACAGUGGUGGCACCACCAGGGACCCUGUGUCAUCCCACCAACACUGUCACCCACCUGUUGGAGGCUGGAGCUUUGUGGGGACGGGGAGGUCCCUUGUCCUGGUCGCCGGGCGACUGACGGCAGCGCUUGGAUGCGGGGGGGGCACUGUCCCUGUCCCCAUCACUGUCUCCAUCCGUGUCCCCUGGCUGCUGUUGGGAGGGGGUACAGCAGGGGGCACGAGGGGACGCGGGGGGUACAGGGGCAGAGCUGCUGCCAGGGGAUGUGGGAUCCUGUGGGCAAAUAUGGAGCAUUCAGAGAGGACAGUGAUAGGGCUGGGAGGGGACAGGGGCCACCAGCACAGGACUAGGAGGCACUGGAAUGGGGCUGAUGCAGGACUGGGGGGCACCGUAGCGACACUGGGAGAUACUGGGGUGACAGAGCAGGACCACAGCUGGACUGAAAGGCACUGGGAGAGGAAUGGGGCAGGACUGGGAGACACAGGGAUGGGACUGAAGGAAGACUGGGAAGGAGCAGGGGGAGCACUGGGAGAUACUGGGGUAGGACUGGGAGAUACUGGGGUAGGACUGGGAGAUACUGGGGUAGGACUGGGAGAUACUGGGGUGACAGAGGAGGACGGGGGGUGGACUGAUAGGCACUGGGAGGAAGCGGGCAGGCACUGCGGGCUCUCACCGCGCUCCCAUCGGGGUCCCGAUGUUCCUGGAGGGUCUCUUCGGGGGGGGGCUCCGUUCCAACUUCUGCACACGCGCUCUGCGAGGGGAGGAAGCUCAGAGCCGGAUGUGCGACGAGGGGGGGGCAGCACCCCCGAUCUCCCCCCAGUAAAGAAAACUUCCCGAUCGCCCGCAGCCCAUCCCCGCCCCACUCACGGGACGACGCCAUCUGCGGCCCUGGGGGGGGCGAAAAAAGACCUGCGGGGAGGGAGGGGAGAAGAAAGAGACGAGGGGCGUCACUACGGGGGGACACGGUGGGGGGUGGGGGGGUCCCGGGUGCCGGCGCUGCUCACGUGA